AAGAUCCCAGCAGCAAAUACACUAAAACAGAAACAAUACAGAGAUUAGCAUGGCCCCUGUACAAGGAUGACAACACAAAUUUGUUAAGUGUUCUAUAUUUAA